GGCAUUAAGAUAUUCAUCAAGUUGGAUUCGAGUGAACUCACCAAUGUUACUAGAAAUGUCGUGUACAAGGAAGUAUUUCAUCGAAUUUGAAGGUAGAUAAUAUUUUCAUAUUUACCAAUUAUUCAUGUAACAUGUCUUUUUUUUAACAACUUAUUCUUUGGCAGGUGUUUCUUCUCUAUAUAAUUUCCCCCGUGCGAUGUUAUUUUCAAUCAUGUCCCUAGGAUGCUCAGUGCAAAUUUUAUUAUCUUUAAGAUUUAUUUUUGACGAUAUACUAAUAUUUUAAUAUUAUUCUUAUGAUGUAACUAUGAAGAACAUGAUGCUUCAAUAUUGCUGGUCGCUUUUUGUAUUUAAAUUCAAUGAGCGUAAUAAUUUAUAUAUGCGUAAAUUUAUUUUUCAGACAUGUAUUUCCAGUUGAAAAUAUGCCACCCCGUGCAUCGCACGGGUGAAUACUAGUUUUA